GACGAACGCUGGCGGCGUGCCUAAUACAUGCAAGUUGAGCGCUGAAGGUUGGUACUUGUACCAACUGGAUGAGCAGCGAACGGGUGAGUAACGCGUGGGGAAUCUGCCUUUGAGCGGGGGACAACAUUUGGAAACGAAUGCUAAUACCGCAUAAAAACUUUAAACACAAGUUUUAAGUUUGAAAGAUGCAAUUGCAUCACUCAAAGAUGAUCCCGCGUUGUAUUAGCUAGUUGGUGAGGUAAAGGCUCACCAAGGCGAUGAUACAUAGCCGACCUGAGAGGGGUAUCGGCCACAAUGGGACUGGGACACGGCCCAAACUCCUACGGGAGGCAGCAGUAGGGAAUCUUCGGCAAUGGACGAAAGUCUGACCGAGCAACGCCGCGGGAGUGAAGAAGGUUGUCGGAUCGUAAAACUCUGUUGGUAGAGAAGAACGUUGGUGAGAGUGGAAAGCUCAUCAAGUGACGGUAACUACCCAGAAAGGGACGGCUAACUACGUG
rnacentral:rRNA from 1 species